AUGAUCUAUAGAAUGAAGAAGAGAAAGAAAAAGAGGAGGUUCCACAGCUGUUGUUGUUGUGUUGAUUCAAAAUCAGAAGGUUGGAGAAGAGAGAAGAAGAAGUCAUCUCCGCAAAAUCCUUCUGAAAUACCAUUGCCAUUAGACUUGAAUUUAACCAUAUACUGCCUGCCAAACGAUGCUUCAGUAACUGCUAUUCUUCCAAGAAAACUCAACCACUUGAAGACCAUUGCCCAAAAAUCUUGCAGGAGUAGUGGGAAUUGGAAGGCCAUCUAUAGUUAA